rnacentral:misc_RNA from 1 species
GAUGAAGAACGUAGCAAAUGCGAUAAGUAGUGUGAAUUGCAGAAUUCAGUGAAUCAUCGAAUCUUUGAACGCACAUUGCGCCCUUUGGUAUUCCAAAGGGCAUGCCUGUUCGAGCGUCAUUUGUACCCUCAAGCUUUGCUUGGUGUUGGGCGUCUUGUCUCUAGCUUUGCUGGAGACUCGCCUUAAAGUCAUUGGCAGCCGGCCUACUGGUUUCGGAGCGCAGCACAAGUCGCACUCUCUAUCAGCAAAGGUCUAGCAUCCAUUAAGCCUUUUUUUCAACUUUUGACCUCGGAUCAGGUAGGGAUACCCGCUGAACUUAAGCAUAUCAAUAAGCGGAGGA